CCUGGCAAUGACGACAAACUUGCCCUCACUGAGGACUGGUUCUGUGAUGAUAGUAUUGUACUCAGCUAAGCCAGG